GUGAUAUAUCAGCGUAUAUAUAUGAACGAACAUUACAAAUGGAAGAACGAUCAAAACUUAUACAAAAUAUGAGAUUAAAAAAACAUGCUAGUAAAAACCAGCUACAGGACAUAGUUGAUAAUGCUCACAGUCAGCGAGAUUUUAUAGAGACAUUAGAACCAUUAGAAGAUGUAUUAGAAGAAACCGAACCAGUGCCUGUUAUAGGUGUAUUAUCAGCUGUAGAUGUACCAUCAUCAGAGAGAAUACAAUAUACAUACAGUAAUAUAACACAACUAAGACGGGAAACUUAUUAUAAACAACCACAACGUAAACCUGAUAAAAAGAAUGUACGGAAAAUGCACACCGCCAUAGAAUUAAAUAAACACAUAGCAUCUUUAUCUAAGGAGGCUGAAAUUGUUAUUGUUAAUAUGCCAUCAUUUCCUACUACACCGUGUAACAAUGAAAAUUAUAUGACAUUUUUAGAAGUAUUAACAGAGGGAAUAGAAAGAGUUUUAAUGGUGCGGGGAUGUGGACAAGAAGUCAUUACAAUUUACUCCUAAACAGCAGCGACUUUCAUAUGUUCAUUUCAGAGAGAAUUGUAGGAAAACUAUUUCUAGACCUACAUUAUCACGCCAUUUUCUGAAACAAGAUCAGAAAUAUAACAUAGUCAUUACCAUAUACUAAA